rnacentral:rRNA from 1 species
GACAGAGGGUGCAAACGUUGUUCGGAAUUACUGGGCGUAAAGGGUGUGUAGGCGGUUCUUUAAGUUUGGUGUGAAAUCUCCCGGCUCAACUGGGAGGGUGCGCCGAAUACUGAGGGACUAGAGUACGGGAGAGGAAAGUGGAAUUCCUGGUGUAGCGGUGAAAUGCGUAGAUAUCAGGAGGAACACCGGUGGUGUAGACGGCUUUCUGGACCGUAACUGACGCUGAAACACGAAAGCGUGGGUAGCAAACAGG